GUAGCUGAGUGGCUGCUCUAUAAUUUAGAGAGGAAAGUCCGGGCUCCAUGGAAAUACAGCGCCGGGUAACGCCCGGCAGAGGAAACUCUAGGGAAAGUGCAACAGAAAAUAUACCGCUUUAUAUUAAAGUAAGGGUGAAAUGGUGUGGUAAGAGCGCACCGUGUUUCAGGUAACUGAAAUAGCUUUGUAAACCCCGCUGGGAGCAAGACCAAAUAGAAACAACUGGCUAUAUUUAUAUAGCAACGGUAUUUCCAACGUGUUGUUUGGGUAGGUUGCAAGAGAUGUUUGGUAACAAGCAUUCUAGAUGAAUAGUCACUCCUGACAGAACCCGGCUUACAGGCUGCCUG
rnacentral:RNase_P_RNA from 1 species